rnacentral:tRNA from 2 species
AUUGAGGUGGCAGAACCCGGUAUUGCAAAAGACCUAAGCCCUUUCAACAGAGGUUCAAAUCCUCUCCUCAAUA